rnacentral:misc_RNA from 1 species
UCACAAACAACACAUCAACAAUCAUCUCAAUUCAUAGCAUAAAAAAAUCUACAAGUUAAAACAAAUAACUAAAAUCUCAAAAAUUUACAUGUCCAUUUAAAACUCAUCAAGACAAACAACAUAUAAAAUUAAUGUGAGGCUGGAUCUAGAUGAAAGAUUCAAAAUCUAGAACCCACAUUCGCUGAAUCGGUUAAUUACACUGCACUUAACCAAACCCAUUUUUCAUAUCGUUGAUCAAUGGAGAGCGCAACGACUGUCGGCAGCUAAAUGGUUGCUACACAGUAAGACUACUUCGUGAAACUUGCAACAACACCAACGUGCACCCUUGUCCACGGCCAUCUUACUAAGUGCCCUAAGGACAUUGGCGCCCGUGAGCAAGGAAAUCAACGAAAGGCUGAGCCAACGAUGGUGGACAGGCCGAGGCAGGAGAUGUGUCUUGCGCGUCUGGAACGGCUGCAAGCACACAAUGGUGGCGUCACAAAUUGGUUAUUGCAAUAAAGUUUGUGGGUUAGCACAUCUCAGUCCGCUGAGAAGCGUGGUAUUUGUGUGCUGCUCAUGCAAUUAUUGAGAUUUAUGUCAACAAAAUUUAUUGAUAUGACCAUGUGCCACUGUCAAUAUCAAUUUAUAAAAAUGACAAUACGUCCCAGAAAAGAAAACGUAGACGAACCAGUCACAAGAAUCAGUAGCCAAAAUCAUUUCCCCAAACACGUCUGGAACAAGAAAACCAUGAAAAAAAAAUCUUGUAAUUAAACUCUUACCUCCACGCAUAUUAACUUCCAUAAAGCUAUGUACAGAUGGUCACUCCCAAGGAAGUUACCAAGAAUUCUCGCAGCUUGCAAAACUCAAGAAAUUUUACGUAGUUACAGACCUCCAUGCAUAUCCCAAAAAAAAAAAAUCCAACCAAAAACCAAGAAACAAAAAUUAAGUAGUUAAAAGACAUCUCACAUCAUCACCAUAAGCCACUCAGUGUUCUUUGUUAUCCCAAGUUUUUAGUGUUAUUUUCAGUGACAGAUUACCGAAGAGACGGAGAGAGGGUAAAGGAAAGUAUUCGCAUACUCAAAGGAAAGUGUGCCACCAUUGACCAACGGCUUGCCAUUGUUAACAAGGCAAUCAUUGUAGCGAAGACGCUUGAAAGUCUUGGGAUUGAUGAGCCGAGCUGAACUGAACCAGCCACAGGUAAGGUGAAUGCCAGAGAUAUCGCAGCCAGUGACGCACACGUUCAUGAUCUCAACAGUGUAGGUAGGAAUACCGUUAGGAAGAGGAGCAGUGGCUCCCUGGUUUAUCAAAAUAUCGGCCUUUGUACACUUCUCUCCCCAUAUUCUAUCAGGUUCCUCCGUUGCCAAUGAUCUCCUAAGAAGCUUUCGAUGUGGAGCAAAUUUUGUAUAGUCCCCUCCUUUGGAGACUGACUUGUUCGAUACCAUGGAUGUGCUGUAACUCACACCUGUCGAAUAAAGAAGCAUGAAUAAUAGCACUACAGAGAAAAAAAGAACCAAAACGACGGCGACUCUACGCUUUGAAAAGGCUCUCAUCUUCGAGGAUGAAUCUCUACUUUUAGGUGCAGAGAUAGAGGAAUCCAAGAACUUUUUUUAUUUUCCCGAAGAGAAAAAGAACAAUAAAAGUCAAAUGCAUCGAUAACUCAGUGGAAGCAGCGAGUCGACUCGGCUGACUAAACCACCAUGGAUAUGAUGUUUCACUGGACACGAAGAGUCUCUGAGCCUCUCUCUCUCUCUAUCUCAGUCUCAGAUAUUGAAAUCUCUGAAAAGGAAUUGGAUGAUCAAUCAACAAUCAACACCGAAACGAGCGCUUUUUAGAGGGAGAAACUCUGAUUCCUGGUUUUCAAGUCAAGGGAGAAAAGGAGGAAGAGGUUUUGAGUUUUU